AUGCAAUGCCUCUGAGUAGUGAAAAUGUGAGGACAGAGAUGGUGGGAUGAACCUUUCUUGCUCUGAAGCUGGUCACUGGGGACGUGUCUUUGCCUGAGGAUGACAAGCUGGCCCUCUGUUAAGGACACUUAAAAUGAGGAGUGGAUAAAUAAAUGGCAAACCUGGAGGCUUGCACAGAGAAGCUUGGGUGGAGGCAGCCCCAGCCCACCCCAGGUCAAGGCCAAGCUCUGCUCGCUUGUGCUAGGAUGGGAAAGCAGAGCCUGGAGCUCCACCACAAGCUAAAUUAAGUCACGGGGAAACCUGGAGGAUUGGUAGCCUGAUGCUGGGGCAGGAGAGGAGGCUGCACCGAUCGGCUCUGAAUUAAGAGAAGCAAAGGGCAUGGGGGCCAGUUUUAAAAUUAGACCUGUAAGGAGCCCUUAUCUCCAGCUAGGCUUUAUCAGACGGGCAGGCAGGCCUUAUCCCAUCCUAUAAUCCCCUCUUCUGGAGGCCCUUGAACGCCAGCGACAACAAAAAUGUGCUGUGUCGAAAUCGUCGCCUGAGGAAACGUGAAUUAUCACACGAGGAGGGACGGGUGGAAAACGCGGCGGUGGGUUCAGCCCCCAUCCUUGCCUGUGGUCACAUUUCUUCAGCUGAAAAUUGCUGCAAGUUUUGGAGAAACUGCAACGUUUUGCAUCUCCCCUCUCUGGCCGGCUCGCUGUCUGCAGGGCAUGGAGGGAUUACCUUGCUGGUAGCCCCCUUCAAAGAGCUCAUUAAUGCCACCAGGGGGAUUUUUUUUUUCUUAUAAUAAUGCUGGUGUUGUUUCAAGUCCGGUUGUAUCCGAUUCUUAAUGUUUUACUUCAGAUCAGGUGCUGGAAACGUUUGAUGUGGUGCCAGCCAGAACCCAAAAUGUUUUCUGCAGAGGGAAGGGCCGGAAAGGACAAAUCCUACCCUGAGACGAGGGUCCUGAAUGGAAGCUUCAUGCCCAAAUGGCCUCAAAAGGGAAGGAUUUGAGUCUUAUGCUUGGCCCUGAGGCAUACUCAGAAUCGAAGAAUGGUUUAGAUUUAAAGGCAGCUGCAGGUCCCUGUGGAGCCAGCCCUGCUCCAGCAGGGCCACCCCGAGCAGGGGGCCUGGCCCCAUGUCCAGGUGGCUGCUGGAGAUCCCCAAGGAGGAGCCCCCAGCCCCUCUGGGAAGAAUGGGAAUGGGAUUGGGAAUAUUUUCUCUGGGAAUGUUUUAUUUUCAUUUUUUAUUUAUUUUUUUUGGUCUUGGUGUCUCUCCAGGUUUUGUCCUAGCUGGGGUGCUGUGCGCACCCUGUAGGCUUCCUCCAGCCUGAAGGUGAAAAUCAGUCUGCUCAUGAACUUGCCUGAGUUUUUGGUGAUUAACCAUCUCCUACAAGCUUGCUCCUGCUUCAGAUGCUCAGUCUGGGUCAGCAGUCCAUCCUCAUACAAGGUUUCAGAGCUGAUGAUGUGAAGGUUUCCACCUCUCUCCACUGAAACAUGGGUUAUGAAGCAAUUGUUUGCUUACAGAGCAGCUCUUGGAUUCAGUAACUCAAACUAAAGCGAUUCCUACAGACUCUUUGCAUUCACACUCCCUCGGCUUCUAUAUUUUUAAUGAGCUCCUGACAUUUUUACUCUCUCCCUCUCUGCUGCAGGGAUGCGUCUGUGAUCUGCAGCCCGUACGCUCUGCAGCUAUUGAGACUGAUUUCCAGGUGUCCCGUAGAUAAAGCGGUGUAAGAGCAGUAGGAUCCACAUCCAUAGACCCCCCCAAACCCAGAGCCUUCAGCAUGUGUGCCUUGUAAAGUGUGUUGUACAUUUCCAGGGCUUUGUAAACGGCAGCCGGUGGCUGCCAGAGGAGCCGAGACGAGUAAUCUCUCUCCCCUCCUGCUGCCUUCCCCUCCGUGUUGUGACCUGAUGGAUAAACCAGCAAUAUACAAGGAUAAGCAGUUAGUCCACAAUUUCUCUUAAUCACCUUGGGUAACGGGUGGUGUUGGCUUGGUUUCCUUUUUAUUUUAUAUUAUUCUUUUUUGAAGAAGGCGUUACACUGUUUUGCUUCUCCCCCACUGUUUGCAACUCGGCUUUCACCAGGAGGGCUGAGAAAUGCCUCCUCCAGGCUUCGUGGGUAAUUGCCUAAUCAAAACCCCAAGGAGAAGAGGGAGAAAAAAGGAGAGGGAACUAGCCCAUGUUGGCUACUGUAAACAGCUCCCUCAGCGUCCAUCAUUCAAAGAUGUACUGUGGUCUCAUCCAGUGUGUGAAGACCUAAUGGUGUCUCCUCAAGCUCCUUCUGCAGUCAUCAGGCUCCUCCAGCAGCACAGAGCAUGGCCUCACAGCAGCAAUCUGCCUUUUUUAGCAGAAAACAUUUUGGGAUAUUCUGCCAGAUGUGCCCCAAAGCUGCAUUUGUGGUCCAUGGUCCAAGGAAAUCAGUCCUUGGGGACUCUGCUUGGCCAUCUGCUCAUCCAUACCGAAACUCCUCUUCACCCCCUGCUCCCCUGUGCCUGUCCCAACAAGAGUAGUGGGAAGGGAGUCAGAGGAAUACCCUAUGGGUAGGGUAUGGGAUGGGAAUCCAAUCACUAUGGAUUUAAUUAGGAUGUGAAAAGGG